CGCUCGUACUUAUUCAAACCACCAUGAAGUUCGCCCUUGUGUCGUUACUCGUCCUCCUACUCGGUCUAAGCGUCGUCUUCGCUCAACCUACAGCCAACUCGCAAAGCGCCCUAGUUGACCUCAUAGCAAGAGUUGCUGGACCUGAACGGGCCAAUCAAAUCAUGAGCAUGAUCGCCCGACUACCCCUCGGGGCUGGCCAAGUGAUCAUCCCGGCAAUGGAAAGGGCAGCCCGAUUAGUCCCAGGGACAGGUUGAUAGGUCUGUCCCUCGAUCUCCGUGG